AGCUAACGCAUUAAGUGUACCGCCUGGGGAGUACGGUCGCAAGAUUAAAACUCAAAGGAAUAGACGGGGACCCGCACAAGCGGUGGAGCAUGUGGUUUAAUUCGAAGAUACGCGAAGAACCUUACCUGGGCUUGAUAUCCUAAGAACCUUUUAGAGAUAAGAGGGUGCUAGCUUGCUAGAACUUAGAGACAGGUGCUGCACGGCUGUCGUCAGCUCGUGUCGUGAGAUGUUGGGUUAAGUCCCGCAACGAGCGCAACCCACGUAUUUAGUUGCUAACGGUUCGGCCGAGCACUCUAAAUAGACUGCCUUCGUAAGGAGGAGGAAGGUGUGGACGACGUCAAGUCAUCAUGGCCCUUAUGCCCAGGGCGACACACGUGCUACAAUGGCAUAUACAAUGAGACGCAAUACCGCGAGGUGGAGCAAAUCUAUAAAAUAUGUCCCAGUUCGGAUUGUUCUCUGCAACUCGAGAGCAUGAAGCCGGAAUCGCUAGUAAUCGUAGAUCAGCCAUGCUACGGUGAAUACGUUCCCGGGUCUUGUACUCACCGCCCGUCACACCAUGGGAGUUGAUUUCACUCGAAGCCGGAAUACUAAACUAGUUACCGUCCACAGUGGAAUCAGCGACUGGGGUGAAGUCGUAACAAGGUAACCGUAGGAGAACCUGCGGUUGGAUCACCUCCUUUCUA
rnacentral:rRNA from 2 species